CUCUAGGUUUUAAUGCAGGGGAUUACAUUCCAGGACGAAUAGCCCUACUCGAUUCAUCUUCUAGGCCACAUCUACAUCGACGACAUGUGGCUAUUUGUCACUAAAGAUGACAUCAAAGGCUUACCUUGCUUCCAGGUUAAUUUGUUUCAUGUCCCAUAUAGUUCUUUCAAGUUUUUCUUUCUCGGUUUUAUGGUGACGAGGUUAUUUUUAUCCCAUUAAAUCAUGGUUUCUGACUUCCAGAAUUGUAUUGUACUUGUUAAGAAUCAAGGUUACUUUUGACAGAUGAUCACUUUGAACUCCAGCAACUAGCUAAAGAACUUUAGCUGCAUCACAAACUUUUUCUUCGAUGCUGGACUAUGUGGGUGUGCACGAGGCCAUUCGUGGGUUCAAUUGGAGUCAAGAGACUCGAGAUCUUGUAGCCUCUUUCUUUGAAAGCAGCUGAACGGAGCUAAUGAUUAGGUUCCCAUAUGGAGGUAAAAUUCUUAUUCUCUCUUCAAGAUUAUUGACAUCUCUAUUUAGCACAGCAUCACAGUUCUUAUUUAGUCAAUGUGUUCCAAAAAAAAAAAAAGAGAAAGAAAGUGUUCCACUGCAUAAAGGACAUCUUUGGUGGAUUUGUGCUUCAAUUUCUUUGGCAAUAAUUUCGUAUUAAGAUCAAGUUGUAUGUGCUACCUUUGAUCAAUUUGUAUACUUGGGUUCAAUUGCCUCAAAGUAAUUGAAGCUUCUCCCUAGUAAGCAACAAUUGGGCAAUUGGAAAUAUAUUUUUCCUUUAAUAGGCAAGUUAAGGAGACCUGAACUUGAGUUUCUUUAUUGGGGUAAUAGGACCUAAGCUGCUGGAGUGUCCAGUUGAAAAUCAACAUAACAAGCAACAAUCGCAAUAUUGUUGUAUCUUUUGAAGGAUAUUAUCAGUGAGGGUAUCUGAUUGAACUGGUCAUCUCAUCUUUCAAUUUUCUCUUCAAAUCUUUUUUCAGUUUCUUAUGAAUGAUUGAAAUGAAUGUCAUAAGAUCUACUUUUGACUUUAUUGUUGCGAAGAACAUUUUUUUUGUGGGAAGGUUCAGUUUGAGCUUAAUAUACUGAAUACAACACAAGUCUAAGGGCAAUUAUAAAUUUAUAAUCUGUUACAAGAUCCUUUAAUCAUCUUAUGAGUAUCAUGACUAAUAGCAAUUUUGAUUAUUUAUAAUUGAAAUUUGCAACUAAUUAUGGGUGUAUGUUAUUUUUGUGUGCUUCUAAAUACAUCCACUUAAUUUGUCUUCACACCUACCAUAUGCAUUGUAGAAUUUUUUAUCUUAUGGAGAAAUACUUGUACAUGUGGGUGUAGAGAAAAGUUUAGUGGGUGCAUUUAGAAGCUCCCAGAAUUCUCAUACCCUCAACCAUUAGCACAAUUCUUAGAUAAUUAAUUUCUUCCAAUUGAUUAUGAGAUAAAAGAAGAUGACUUCUGGUAUGAAAUCAGAAUAGUGUUGUUAAGUUACCACUAAAGGUUCUCCAACAUGUGAAGCCACUCAACCAAAUUCCAUUGGUUGGCCCUCUGUUUACACCUCCAGUGAACGUGAAUUCAGUGACACGGGUUGCUGUAAGAGCUGCAACUGAUCCAAUGUUUCCUCCUGGUAUUGUAGACGUAUAUGGUAUUCUACGAUAUAGCCAACAAAAGUCAGCUUAGUCAUUGCAUUGGGAAGCUUACCUGAGAAUUGGGCUUAAUAAAAAGAUUCAACACUCACACUUUGCUAGGUGACCAAAGCCAUGGUAGUAAUGGGUAAAGGCUUGUCAGUAAAGGCUGCAAACUAGUUGGAUGUGGUUUUGAAGUACCAAGUCUUCAAGUUUCCAAUGAUGAUCUUGCCAAAGUUGUUGAUACUUCAGAUGAGUGGAUAUCUGUUCGCACUGGGAUCCGCAAUCAACGAGUUCUAACAGGUCAGUUUUUCCUCAGAGUUCAUGCCUGCUGGCAUUUAUUUGGUCUUAUGAACAGUUUGAGGUAGCUUUGCUUACUGCUAUUAUCUGAGCUUCAUUUUGAUUGCAAGACUGAAAUUGAGCUUUAGCUAGACUUUGCUUACAUAUUGAUUUUUGUUUGCUUGGCUAGGGUGGGUUGGUUGGGUUACCUAGGUAUUGAUUUUGCAGAAUUCAUAAUUUUGUAUGGAACAAGUUUAUAGUUCCUGAAUCACCCUAACUGUAUUAUUAGACUGUGGCGGUCUUGAAGUCUGCCAACCAUGGCAUGCCUAAUCAGACAAAUGUUGAAACUUCCUAGUAUUAAAAUGUUGAAACUUCCUUUUGGUUGCCUAAUUAGACAAGUUACUGAACAUCUUUUAGUAACUAAAAGAAGGUUGAGUAGCACAAAUUAAUGCAUAGAACAAUAUUAUCUCAACAAAUAAACAUAUGUUUCAUACAAAAUUAAUAACCCAUCAUAUAGCUGUAACUCAACAAGAAGAAAAGAAAUGAUAAGAUUUUGACUCUACACAUUAAAUGGAUAGAUGCCGAGGUCUGCCACGUGGCCGUGCACUCACCAUGCUUUUUUCUUUAUUUUUCUGUGGAGCAUGGUCGGUUGAAUUCCGGCAUCUUCUCUUUCUCAAUCUGCACCUAGUUCUCAAUAAGUUUAUUCUCUCCCAUGAAAGUGAAUUUUCUCACUGUAGACAACCUAAUCAUAUACACCGCUAGCUUGGUGGAUUUGAAUACCAAAUUCAGGAAGUUGCAACUAUUCAAGAGGAGUGCCAGACCAAAAUCUAAAACCCUACAGAUGAAACUUCAAAUUUUGGUUUGCAAGAGAUUAAUGAUGAGAUAAAUAUGAAAGUAAAAAAGUACCUUAGAGGCGAAGGUGCUAAUUUGGAGGGUUUACGAGAUAAAAAAUUGAAAGGUCAGCUUGCUAUUAGAGAAGAAUUAUAUGGAAAAUCUGCAAAGGCUGCUGCCAAGGCUGAGAAGAUCUUCCUAUGGAUCAAACUGCUACAAACAUGGCUUCUACCCAUUGUCUCUCUUCCUAUUCAAACCACUUGUUUCGUAGCUUCAAGCAUUUUCAGGUUAGGGUGUUAUGCGAGAAGGCUAAGGGGAUUCUAAUGGAAGAAAGCAAUGUAACCAUCUUUUGUCUUGACUCUUCCCGAUAGGAAUAAACAAACUUGUCCAAUAUGCCAUAUAAUGUGGAAGUAGUAAAGAGUUCAAAUUGAUUCUUAUUCUUCACUAAUUCUUCACUUUGAUUCUUAUGUUUAUAAAUAUAUUUUUCUGCACUUAUUAUGCACAUUAUCCCAUAGUGAUUCUUAUUCUUAUUCUUAUAAAUAUAAUGUGGAAGUAGUAAAGAGUUCAAAUAUAUUCUUAUUCUUAUUCCUCAUGUAUUUUUCUGCACUUAUUACGCACAUUAUCCCAUAGUGAUUAACUUUAUGAUAUCUUGAAUUGAAUUGGCAUCAGGGUUCUUCACAAUUUGCCAUCCUCGGUGAAGCUACCAUCAACCUGCUGAUUAUGCUGAUGCACUGAAUCCUUCUACCAUUGCACUGCCUCUACAUGGAUAUGGAUGAACUCGUGCACAAAGCUAAAUUGUAUAGGAGUUUUGGCACUUUUUGUAUCUUUGGAAGGAUUAUAUAUUUUUGUAUACAUGUAUAUGGAAAAUAUUAGGGUAGACCAGUAGUUAUAUUUUUAGAUA